rnacentral:tRNA from 1 species
GUAAGUAUAAUUUAACCAAAAUAUUAGAUUGUGAUUCUGAAGAUAGGAGUUAAAACCUCCUUACUCACC